rnacentral:rRNA from 2 species
GACGCUGGCGGCGUGCCUAAUACAUGCAAGUCGAACGAGUUCUCGUUGAUGAUCGGUGCUUGCACCGAGAUUCAACAUGGAACGAGUGGCGGACGGGUGAGUAACACGUGGGUAACCUGCCCUUAAGUGGGGGAUAACAUUUGGAAACAGAUGCUAAUACCGCAUAGAUCCAAGAACCGCAUGGUUCUUGGCUGAAAGAUGGCGUAAGCUAUCGCUUUUGGAUGGACCCGCGGCGUAUUAGCUAGUUGGUGAGGUAAUGGCUCACCAAGGCGAUGAUACGUAGCCGAACUGAGAGGUUGAUCGGCCACAUUGGGACUGAGACACGGCCCAAACUCCUACGGGAGGCAGCAGUAGGGAAUCUUCCACAAUGGACGCAAGUCUGAUGGAGCAACGCCGCGUGAGUGAAGAAGGCUUUCGGGUCGUAAAACUCUGUUGUUGGAGAAGAAUGGUCGGCAGAGUAACUGUUGUCGGCGUGACGGUAUCCAACCAGAAAGCCACGGCUAACUACGUGCCAGCAGCCGCGGUAAUACGUAGGUGGCAAGCGUUAUCCGGAUUUAUUGGGCGUAAAGCGAGCGCAGGCGGUUUUUUAAGUCUGAUGUGAAAGCCCUCGGCUUAACCGAGGAAGCGCAUCGGAAACUGGGAAACUUGAGUGCAGAAGAGGACAGUGGAACUCCAUGUGUAGCGGUGAAAUGCGUAGAUAUAUGGAAGAACACCAGUGGCGAAGGCGGCUGUCUGGUCUGUAACUGACGCUGAGGCUCGAAAGCAUGGGUAGCGAACAGGAUUAGAUACCCUGGUAGUCCAUGCCGUAAACGAUGAAUGCUAGGUGUUGGAGGGUUUCCGCCCUUCAGUGCCGCAGCUAACGCAUUAAGCAUUCCGCCUGGGGAGUACGACCGCAAGGUUGAAACUCAAAGGAAUUGACGGGGGCCCGCACAAGCGGUGGAGCAUGUGGUUUAAUUCGAAGCAACGCGAAGAACCUUACCAGGUCUUGACAUCUUUUGAUCACCUGAGAGAUCAGGUUUCCCCUUCGGGGGCAAAAUGACAGGUGGUGCAUGGUUGUCGUCAGCUCGUGUCGUGAGAUGUUGGGUUAAGUCCCGCAACGAGCGCAACCCUUAUGACUAGUUGCCAGCAUUUAGUUGGGCACUCUAGUAAGACUGCCGGUGACAAACCGGAGGAAGGUGGGGAUGACGUCAAAUCAUCAUGCCCCUUAUGACCUGGGCUACACACGUGCUACAAUGGAUGGUACAACGAGUUGCGAGACCGCGAGGUCAAGCUAAUCUCUUAAAGCCAUUCUCAGUUCGGACUGUAGGCUGCAACUCGCCUACACGAAGUCGGAAUCGCUAGUAAUCGCGGAUCAGCACGCCGCGGUGAAUACGUUCCCGGGCCUUGUACACACCGCCCGUCACACCAUGAGAGUUUGUAACACCCGAAGCCGGUGGCGUAACCCUUUUAGGGAGCGAGCCGUCUAAGGUGGGACAAA